UACGUAGGGGGCUAGCGUUGUCCGGAAUCAUUGGGCGUAAAGCGCGUGUAGGCGGUUCGGUAAGUCCGCUGUGAAAGUCGGGGGCUCAACCCUCGGAAGCCGGUGGAUACUGCCGGGCUAGAGUCCGGAAGAGGCGAGUGGAAUUCCUGGUGUAGCGGUGAAAUGCGCAGAUAUCAGGAGGAACACCGGUGGCGAAGGCGGGUCUCUGGGCCGUAACUGACGCUGAGGAGCGAAAGCGUGGGGAGCGAACAGG
rnacentral:rRNA from 1 species